UGGGUUAUAUGUGCAAUUCCUUAAUUUCAUUUAGUUGAGUGAGUUUCUUUGUUGGUAAAAAGGAAACGAGUUUUGUUUCCAACUUGGAGUAUAGUGCUACCGAAGUCUAGUCAAACUAAAAAGCUUAGUGUAGCUGCUGAGGCACUUACUUGAGUUAUGUGUGCAAUUCCCUAAUUUCGUUUGGUUGAGGCUCUUACUUGGAGCUUUAAUCAAAUUAGAGAUGUUUUAAGACUAGUUCAGGGAAUUAGUAGGGCUCACUUAAGGUUAAACUAACAGCAAAAUGCUCAAGGUAAACUCCUUGUGUUGAAAGGUUAAUUCAUAAAUAGAAAUGAUUUUGAGGGAUGCAAAUGCAAUUGAGGUAGCGAUAAAAGUGAUGGAAAUUAUGAAAUUCAAUCUGAUUUCACUUUCUUGUGAACAUUAUGAACAUCACCACUGCAAUACAUCUAUUUGGUUAUGAACUCUAUAGCCUAUAAAUAAUAUACCAUAUGAUGUCAAAUGUACACAAUGAGUAGAGGUAUUCUUCUUUAUAUACGUCAAGUCUUAAAGGAAAAUUCUUACUUUCUACGUAACAUUAUAUAAAUUGAACAAGAUUAUAUUGGAAAAUAUCAACAUAAUCCUUUGCCUUUGCCAUAUACAAAAUUGUGUACAUCACAGAAACUUCUUCGGGUGAUAUUGUUGAAGUUGUUGGACAUAGACACUUAGUGAACAUCAAGUGCUAUUUCUCACCCAAAAGGUCAAAAGAAUGAAAUUCACUUAUAUUUCACAUCAAAAGAAAAAACAAUCAUGUUCUAAAUGUAACAACUCUACCAAGAAAUUCCUCUUCGUUCCUACUACAAAAGGAAAUAUUAUACUGAAAACUUAGGGAUUAGCUUUGGAAAACAUUUACCUGCCAAACAGCCAAGAGAAUUCUCAGCAGCUUGUUGUCGAGAAUCCUUCCUUCGUAGAAAAUACCUAUUUUCUCAUCAGUGGAGGUAGAAAAUAAUCAGGACAACUAAGGGGUAGGGGUGUGUUCAAAAGCUAUCAUUCCUCACACUGUUGUGUAUCAAACCAAACUGCAUCCUAAAAGCAGCUAUUUCUAGAAAAUUUUAAAACCAAACCAGGUCUUAUUAUUUAAAUUUGAAGUUGAAAAAACCAAUUAUCAACUCAGUUCCCGAGGUAUAACCAAAUUUUUUAUGCAUAAUAUAUCACAAGUUGAAGUGGAGUAGCUCUUCCCAGCCAUGUAACUAUUCUAUGAUCACCUCAUUCAUGCCCUCCAAUGUCCAAAUUUUUUUAUGCUCUUCAGUAGCACUUGUGUGUCAUCCAUCAACUAAAUCACAAAUGUAGCUACGUUCAUUCCUGCGGACUAGGAGAGCACCCACCAUACAAAAGAAAUGUUUGGGAUUUGAUAGAAGAAAGGGACGGAUAGACACUUAGGCUUAGUUUGGUGAAGUUUUUACUUUUUAAAAGUAGUUUAUAAAAGCUAGCUUUUUAAAAGAUAACUUUUUAAAGAGUGUAACAUUUAUGUUUGUUAAAUCAAAUUAAAAAUGACUUUUAAUAAACACAAGCAACAACAAUUAUGUUUGGUAAAAUAGCUUUUAAAAUUUAAAAAUACUAUAAAAGACAUAAAUUUAAGCGUUAAAUUUGAAAAUUAGUUAAUAUAUGAGGUUAUAUUAGACUUUUAAAUUUUGAAAAGCACAAGCAACUUCGAAAAGCUCCACCCUAGUUGCUUUCAAAAGUAUCACGAUCUUUUAAAAGUUGCAAGCACAAGUACAUGUUUUUUUGAUUUACCAAACACAAAAUGAGGAGCUUGUGCUUUUAAAAAACACAAGCACCUCCAUAGUUUCUGAUUGCGGAUGGCGGCUCAUGGCGGUGAGCCAAAAAUCCGCCAUAAAAAAUAAUGGUGGAUGGCGUUGUGGGAAAUGGCGGAAAUGGCGGAUUAUCUAAAAAAUGCAUAUAUAUGUACAAAAAAACAUGCAGAAAAAAUUGCAAAUAUAAUAUACUAUAAAAUCUAAUAUAUGUAAUCAUUUUUCUAGUCAUAUCCAAUUAAUGCAGCAAAUAUAAUAUCAAAUGUAGGAAAUAAACAUAAGACAUAGAACAUAAAAACUAAAAAAAAAAACUAAAAACUUAAGAGAAAGACCAAAGCCAUUGUCUCAUCAUGUCUUUAAACUAACAAAUGAAAGGAAAACAAGUUGGAGGAAGAGAGGUUUAUGAAGGAAUAGAAGGAGAUAAUGAAGUGAGUGCACUAAAUGAAAAAAAAAGGAAUGUAUGUACUGUAACUGGUACGAACCAGAGAAAAGAGGGAACUGUGGUGAUGAGCGGCGGCGUCCACCAGCGGCGACGGAUGGCGACAGGCGGUGGCGAAGAUCGGCGGCACAGGAGGCACACAGAAGAGAGAAAGAGAACAGAGAUAGAAAGCCGUUUUGGACGUGAAUCAGAGAGGAAGAGUCGUUUUUGAGUUGCAGUGGCUAAACUGGGUUAGUGGGUUACAUGUAUCAUUUAGGGUUUUGCUAAUUUACCCAUUUACCCUCGAUUUUUUUUUUUAAAAAUUCGAAAAAAACCCGCAAUUUUUGCCAUUUUCAUGGCGGUCCGCCAUGGCGUUACCGCAAUUGCGGCCGCCUUUUGCCCGCCGUGAAAACCCCUUGGCGGUGGCGUUUGUAUGGCGGCGAGGCAAAUCCCGCCAAGCCAUACCGUUAUGGCGUCGCCAUGGCCGAUAUUUUAAAACACUGAGUACCUCUUCGAAAAGCUUUACCAAACCAAGCCUUAGUGCUAGUCUGCUACUAAAUUUAAUUAUCAAAUAUGGUUCUAAACCAGUUUGAAAUUUGGUUAGUUUAAUUUACAUUGUUCAAAACUGAUUUGUUGGUAAACUAUUUGUUUUGAGUAACCAAAUUUAAGACCUAGUCCAUUUCAGUUUUGGAUUGGUUUAUAAGAAAAACCAGAUUAUCUUUCUCAGCCUUGACUAGGAGGGACACCAGAAACAGAAAGGUUGAGAACCAAAUAUCAUGAUCACACCCACAAAGAAUCAAUUACUACCUUCGAGGCCAGGGUGGUGGUUGUGUGUGCAUUUGUAUGACUGUGUAGUGUGGGUGGUUGGACGGCCAAAGGUAGCCAAUGCUAAUAGCACCCUUAAGGCAAAGGGGCUCCUUCCCCACCC